GCACUAGUCACCGGCACUGUGCGUGUAUGUAUGUGUGUGAUUACACAGGCAGUCAAAGCUCCGCCCAUCUCUGGAUGUCCCGCCCAAACAGCCUCCCCGAGCCUUCCACUGGUUUUCAAGUAGGGAGUACAUAGCAGAAUCUACGGUUCCAUGGGCAGCCCCACUGACACAGAAGAUGUUUUUGUUGCUGUGAUCCGACCAAAGAAUGCCGGAAGUCUAAAUUCUCGGGAAUACCGAGCGAAAGAACACACCAGCUUUCAUUUUAGGGAAUAAAUAGACAUAAAACAUUGAUAUACUGUAUAUACAGGGAAUAGAGUUCUGUUGCAGGCCUGAUCUGAGAAAUCUAGUCUUCUAGUUUACUAUGCUACAGAUUCAUUUUAUUGGAAUACAUAUUUCCUAUAUUAAUGUUUGGAAAUGUUUAUACCUAAGAAUUAAAAACUGAAACACAGACGUUGAUGCACAUGAAAUCUUAAUGAUUGAGGUACCAGUUGAAGGGCAGAAGAAAAAGAAACAAAAAGGUUUUGCUGGAAACUUAACUUCAAGGGGGAAAAAAUACAGCUGAGGAAAUACUGGACUGUGUUUUAGAGUCCACCAAACUAAUUUCUCCUUCAAGUCAAGGGGUUAAAGGUGGCUGGAUGAGCAGCACGCUCAGUCUCACGCUGUCUCAGGGCUCUUCAGACCAUCUCCCUUGGAGAGAAUAAAGACCAACAUCACAAACUCGGCCUAUGCUCCUGAAGCCGGCCAGUAUGAGAAUUCUCUGCACAUGGGAUACACAGCUUUGGAAAUAAAAAGCAAAAUGAUGGCUUUAGAGAAGGCAGAUAUGUGUAUCUACAACCCUCUGUUUGCGUCAGAUUUUCAGUAUACAAACAGGGUAAUACUAUGGGAAAACUAUGGGAAUAAAUAAACUAUGGGUUUAAUAGAGACCAUUUUCAUGAUUGCUGAUACCUGUAGAAGGGGGGGGGGGACUUCUGUUCCACACUGUAGUUAUAUUGCUGUCUCAUGGCAAGUGAAUGAAUCUGAAAGGUACGUGCCCUGGCUUAAACUUUGAUGAUGUUAAAACCUGAUCUUUUAACAUGAGUUCGGGUGUUCCUAGCCAACACGAGUUCGGGGGAUGGCACAAAGCGAGAUUAGUCGCCCAGCGACAAAUCUUCUCUACUUCGGGCGACUAAUCUCCCAAAAUGCCUUCCCGCGCAUAAGAAUAAGAAUCGCCGGCGGGAUGGCAUACUUAUCUCUUCGGUUUCCCGAAGUCACCGAAGUUUCCUCGUGAGGCAAGUGCUACAAAUGUAAAAGAAAGAUUAACAAUAAUUUAAAGUAAUUCAAAUAUAAUAUAGAGUUGUCCUGCAC